rnacentral:misc_RNA from 1 species
CACUCAACUUUUUUUCUUUUUUUUUUUUCUGUUUUAAAUUGGUCUGAUGAAGAUCAUAUCUUCACUGGUAAUUUAACAUUAUCUAUUUCCUUAGUAUGUAUGAUACCCGAAGGAUUUUGAACUAUCAACAUCCGAAUUGGAGGAUUCUGAUUGGUUGCCUCCCUCAUUGUUGAAUUGCACAGGUUGAGGCUGGAUUGCUCCAGUGAUGGAUUUAUCAGGUUGUGAUUCGUCUUCUAUACAAACAGCCACAAUCUUGGUUUUUCUAUCUUUAUGCCUCUUCCAUUUCGACUUCCUUAACCAAUGUCUAGCUAACUCAAUUCCCAGAUAGAUAAACACAGUUGCC